UAAGGAAUAUUGCUCAAUGGGAGAAAUCCUGAAGCAGCAACGCCGCGUGGAGGAUGAAGGGUCUAUGACUUGUAAACUCCUGUAAAGAAGGAAAAAAUUCUCAUUAGAUGGGAGAUGAUGGUACUUCUGGAGUAAGCCCCGGCUAACUACGUGCCAGCAGCCGCGGUCAUACGUAGGGGGCAAGCGUUGUCCGGAUUUACUGGGUGUAAAGGGUGCUCAGGCGGAUUUGUAAGUCAGAGGUGAAAUCUUACAGGUUAACUGUGAAACUGCCUUUAAUACUGCAAGCCUAGAGUGUGGAAGANAGUGAUGGAAUAUCUGGUGAAGCAGUGAAAUGCGUCGAUAUCACAUAGAACACCAAUGGCGAAGGCAGUCACUUGGUCCAUUACUGUCGCUAAAGCACGAAAGCGUGGG
rnacentral:rRNA from 1 species